rnacentral:rRNA from 1 species
CCUACGGGGAGCAGCAGUAGGGAAUUUUUCACAAUGGGCGAAAGCCUGAUGGAGCAACGCCGCGUGCAGGAUGAAGGCCUUCGGGUUGUAAACUGCUUUUAUAAGCGAGAAAUAUGCUGGUAACUUAUGAAUAAGGAUCGGCUAACUACGUGCCAGCAGCCGCGGUCAUACGUAGGUGGCAAGCGUUAUCCGGAAUGACUGGGCGUAAAGGGUGCGUAGGUGGGUUAGUAAGUUGGCGGUGUAAUUCCGGGGCUCAACCUCGGCGCUACCGCCAAAACUAUUAGACUAGAGUGCAGGAGGGGUAAGUGGAAUUCCUAGUGUAGCGGUGGAAUGCGUAGAUAUUAGGAGGAAAAUCAGGGGCGAAGGCGACUUACUGGACUGUAACUGACACUGAGGCACGAAAGCGUGGGGAGCAAACAGGAUUAGAUACCCGGGUAGUC